rnacentral:misc_RNA from 1 species
GUUAUCCACACAUUAUUUCAAUCCUCUCUACUUUUUCUCUUUUAUUUUCUUUGCAACAUCAACAUUAUUGCACAUAGAAAAAAGAGAGAGGGAAUGGUGGUAAUGGCGGUGCCUUCCAAGUGGUUGUGUUUGCGCAGCAGUGCUUGUGGUCAUGUUCGUCGGAGUUUCAGCCACUAUUCGAAACAACGGGAUAUCUGGUCUUACCAGGUAUACACCAUUGGUAGAUUGCUUGGCAUAUUCUAACAAUGCUUCUUCUAUUAGAACAAAUGGAUAUGAACUUAUAUAGAAGUAAUUUUUCUAUUUUCCUUUUCUUCAGCCCCUGCACUAGUUGAAGAUAUAAUGGCG